rnacentral:tRNA from 1 species
UCCCUGGUGGCUCAGAUGGUAAAGCAUCUGUCUGCAAGGCAGGAGACGUAAGUUUGAUCCCUGUGCUGGGAA